rnacentral:lncRNA from 1 species
GGCGAGGCAAUGAGGAGCGGCUACGGCGUGUGCUCGUGUCUCCUUGUACAAGGUGGUCAACAUGUUGGGCAAGCAACAAGGUAUCAAUCUCAUCGUCGGAAUCGUCGGAUGACGAGGACAACACAAGGCUUUUCAAUGACUCCAUGACGACCUAAACUACGAGUGCGUAGUACGGUCUUCUUAUGGUAUGGCGGAUGAUAUAGAAGAGAGUGAGUGUUUAGAUGAGUGGAGCAUUUCCCCAGGGUACCAUAUUUAUAGGUGCCUUUGGUGUGUGAAGGAAGCCAGGCGAUCGUGGCUUCUAGUACAAGCCAGUCGUGUCGUGCAAGCCACUCGUGUCGUGUACUAGAAGAAUGAGAAUUUUGAAUUUGUAAAAAUACAUCAAUUUGUACCGUAUUUGUACUAAUGUAGUAAUAGUAAUUAUGAAGUUUGCUAAUUACAUGUGGACCAAAAUUCGCCCGUGUACUAUACAAAUAAUAAAUAAACAUAAAUUUAAUAUUUGAUGGUAGUUGAGUUAGUUGAUGAGGAAAGUAUAUAAUAUUGGUCUGGUGGGGUAUAGAGGAUUGUUAUAGGGGGAACCGCUGUAGACCGUGGAAAUAUAGGGGGAGAGAGAUUGCUGACGUGGCACGUGAGUGGGAUAUAGGGGGACAAAUUUAGGGGAACCGCUGAAGACAGUCUUCUGUAGUGAAUUCUACGCCAGAUCCUGGAUCCAGCUGACCGGGGGCAGAGUCCUUUGUCAGGAUCAAAUGUUAUGUUCAGUUGCUCACUGAUUGGGAUGUUGUAAUUAUUACGUCAGAUCGCCUUUCCCCCAUAGAUUCAUGUUGAUUGGCGGCUACUUUUUUCAUUCCAAAGCAAAGAAUCAUUCAUUGUUUGAAAAACUGGCAACCUUUGCCUUGAUUCGCACUCAAAGCGAGAGUAAGUAGCUUUUCAGAUGAGCACAACCAUUUUGCAGCACCAAGAAGCACCAUUUUUUCCUUAAGAUUAACUUAGAAUAAAGCCUGACGGGGGUAACAGCAUCCAUCGAUCCGCAGUCCAUGCUGUUUGAUGCAUGGGUCUGCUGAAACCGAGGAUGAACACAGCACUAACAACUGACACAGAGCGACCUUGCAAUCAAAAACACAGAUGGGCAACAACAAACACGACACGAACGAAGAUAAACCCUCUGGACUAGGGUAAACAUCACGGUAGCGAACAGGAUAACUUGGCCGCGCGGGCCCCACCGCUCAGUUCCUCCAGUUCCCGUCGGAGUUGCCGUAGCCGCCGCCACGGUUGCCACCGCCGUAGCCGCCGCCACCACCACCGUAGCCGCCGCCGCCACCGUAGCCGCCGCCACCGCCGUAGCCGCCACCGCCAUCACGGCGCCCGCCACCGCCGUAGCCGCCGCCUCCACGGCCACCACCGUACCCACCGCCGCCGCCUCCACGGCCGCCGCGGGACUGGGCCUCGUUGACGGUGAUGUUGCGGCCGUCCAGCUCCUUGCCGUUCAUGCCCUCGAUGGCGUUCCGCAUCGCCUCCUCCGUGGAGAAGGUGACGAAGCCGAAGCCGCGGGACCUCUGCGUCUCCCGAUCGAGGAUGAUCUGCAGGGGAGAGGGGAAGGAGGGACAGAUCCGGGUGAGGGUGUGUCAGGACAGGUCAGAUCUGGACGAAGCCAUGGACGGAUCUGGGACGGGAACGGACCUUGGACUCGAGGACCUCGCCGUAGGUGCUGAAGGCGUUGUGGAGGGAGUGGUCGUCCGUGGCCCAGGCGAGGCCGCCGACGAAGCAGCGGUACUCAACAUCCGACGCCGCCAUCUCGAUCCGCUCACCCACGAACCCGAACCCCGGAGAACCUCACGAACCCGAACCCGAACCGGAGGGGGAGGAGAAGCCAACCCACCU